ACACUUACCUGGCAGGGGAGAUACCAUGAUCACAAAGGUGGUUUUCCCAGGGCGAGGCUUAUCCAUUGCACUCCGGAUGUGCUGACCCCUGCGAUUUCCCCAAAUGUGGGAAACUUGACUGCAUAAUUUGUGGUAGUGGGGGACUGCGUUCGCGCUCUCCCCUU
rnacentral:snRNA from 1 species